UACGGACUUAAAUAAUUUGAGCUUUAGUAGAAAAACUUACUAAAUGCUAGCUUUCAGAUUCAGGGAAACUUAGGUUGAAAAAAAAUAUAAGCAAUCCUGAGCCAAAUUUUAUUUUAAAAGUAAGAUAAGAUAGGUGCAGAGACUCGAUGGAAGCUAUCCUAACGUAUAAUAUUUUUAUAUUUAUUUAAUUGAUUAAUUGGUGAAACUAAAUUUAAACUGAAAUUUUACUAUUUUGAAUAUUAAGCAAGGAUAAAGAUAGAGUCCAAUUUUACAUGUUAAUUUUAGCAACAAUUUAAAUUGUAGUAGAAAGAAAAUCCGUUGGCUUUAUUGACCGUGAGGGUUCAAGUCCCUCUACCCCCA
rnacentral:tRNA from 1 species